UGGGGAAUAUUGGACAAUGGGGGCAACCCUGAUCCAGCAAUACCGCGUGUGUGAAGAAGGCCUGAGGGUUGUAAAGCACUUUCAAUUGUGAAGAAAAGCUAAUAGUUAAUAACUAUUAGCCUUGACGUUAACUUUAGAAGAAGCACCGGCUAACUCCGUGCCAGCAGCCGCGGUAAUACGGAGGGUGCAAGCGUUAAUCGGAAUUACUGGGCGUAAAGCGUGCGUAGGUGGUUUGUUAAGUUAGAUGUGAAAGCCCUGGGCUCAACCUAGGAACUGCAUUUAAAACUGGCAAACUAGAGUAUAGGAGAGGAAAGUGGAAUUUCAGGUGUAGCGGUGAAAUGCGUAGAUAUCUGAAGGAACAUCAAUGGCGAAGGCAGCUUUCUGGACUAAUACUGACACUGAGGUACGAAAGCGUGGGUAGCAAACAGG
rnacentral:rRNA from 1 species